rnacentral:rRNA from 1 species
CCCUUAGAUGUCCUGGGCCGCACGCGUGCUACACUGACGCCUACAGCGAGUACUUCCCAGCCCCGAGAGGUGGCUGGUAAUCAGCAAUAGGCGUCGUGAUGGGGAUAGAUCUUUGGAAUUAUGGAUCUUGAACGAGGAAUGCCUAGUAAGCGCAGGUCAUUAGCCUGCGCUGAUUAAGUCCCUGCCCUUGUACACACCGCCCGUCGCUCCUACCGAUUUCGAGUGGUCCGGUGAAUCUUUCGGACUGCGCGCGGCCUCGUGCCGUGUCGCGGAAAGUCAGGUAAACCUUAUCACUUAGAGGAAGGAGAAGUCGUAACA